CAUUCGCCUAUGAUGGUUAUUAAAUAUACUUUGAGUAUUGCACUCUGAAAACAACCUAAAUCUGAGGCUACAA
rfam:Ipomoea nil DNA, scaffold: scaffold2957, cultivar: Tokyo-kokei standard.